AUUGAACGCUGGCGGCAGGCCUAACACAUGCAAGUCGAACGGUAACAGGAAGCAGCUUGCUGCUUUGCUGACGAGUGGCGGACGGGUGAGUAAUGCCUGGGAAACUGCCCGAUGGAGGGGGAUAACUACUGGAAACGGUAGCUAAUACCGCAUAACGUCGCAAGACCAAAGAGGGGGACCUUAGGGCCUCUUGCCAUCGGAUGUGCCCAGAUGGGAUUAGCUAGUAGGUGGGGUAACGGCUCACCUAGGCGACGAUCCCUAGCUGGUCUGAGAGGAUGACCAGCCACACUGGAACUGAGACACGGUCCAGACUCCUACGGGAGGCAGCAGUGGGGAAUAUUGCACAAUGGGCGCAAGCCUGAUGCAGCCAUGCCGCGUGUAUGAAGAAGGCCUUCGGGUUGUAAAGUACUUUCAGCGGGGAGGAAGGGAGUAAAGUUAAUACCUUUGCUCAUUGACGUUACCCGCAGAAGAAGCACCGGCUAACUCCGUG
rnacentral:rRNA from 1 species